GAGUAGUGGGCGGUGGCCUUUAUUCUUUGGAAAGAAGCUUUGGGGAACCUAUGGCCUCUAGGACUUUAAGAACAUGGGAACCUGAAAGGCAAGGAAAACAAGAAGCCCAGACAAGAGACGGAGCAUGAGCUGAAGAUGUAGACGCCUCCUAAGGCGGUGGCUCUCAGCCUUCCUGAUGCUGUGACCCUUUAAUACAGUUCCUCGUGGUGUGGUGACCCCCAGCCAUAAAAUUAUUUUAUUGCUACUUUAUGACUUUAAUUUUGCUAUCUUUAUGAAUUGUAAUGUAAAUUUCUACGUCUUCCCAUGGUCUUCUGCGACCCUGCGAAAGGGGUUGAGUCUCUAUUCAAAGGCUGAGAGCCCCUGCCCUAAGGGCUGAGACAAGCCUCUGAAGCUGGUAACAGGAGCCCAGGACCACUGCUCUAGGACAGUUCAGCAAUGUAAAUAAGAAGGAAACUUAGCCUCUCCAACCCUGAGGACCUCAAGUGGCCGGUAGCUCUCAGUAGACUGAUGAAACCCUUCCUCUUCCUCAGCCCUGAAGGGACUCCAGUCUCUGGUGACCUGCUGUAAAAAGCCUGAGAGUGUCAAGGCACCUAAGGUGGAUUCAGCUCCCACCGCGAUCAGAAGUAUCCAUGCUGCCUGCUCAGAGGAGGCCAGGAAGGCUGGGAGUGGCCCUAACAAAAGGCCCAAGUUCUCAGAAAUUAGAAAGCAUUGCGUGCUAAACCACGUUGAUUGCUCCAUAAACCGACUCCCUUAAUGCAUAAACAGCAGUGUGAACUGAGCACUGAUGGCUACCGAUCUUGGACCCACUCGCGUGGACAGUCAAUGUCUUGUUGAGGAGACGUGAGACAAGCACUCCCAGACAAUGAGUUCUUGAGUUCAUGAGAUACACGCAACUUGUCAAGUCCUUGCAAUGCUUCUUUCUGACAGCAGGGGGGAGCCAACACCUGGUAAACGCCCGGGCACACUAAACCUUGCCGGUGCAGAAGAAACUGCCAAAGAAACAACCAGGAAAUGAUACCUUGGAAAGAACUGAAACCCAAGCAGGCUGGAAAUGGAGGCAGCUCAGGCCCAGGUUUUGUAGGUGUUGCGGCCAAGAUUAUCGAUCCCCCGAGUAAAGCAAAUGUCAGCUGGGGAAGUCCAGGCUGGCCUUUAGGGUGACUGUUGCUCCGUAUCUUACUCUAGCACCACAGACAAACACAAUCUAUUUCCUCUUUCUUUCUGUCGUGUCUGAGCUCACUCCGGUCAGGGCUAAGCCAAGCUCAGAA
ensembl:lincRNA Gm42682 predicted gene 42682